rnacentral:rRNA from 1 species
AUGAAUUCCCUCUCCAUCCUCCUCUUCCCCCGCGCGCGCCCUUCGCUCCCGCUCCCGCUCCGCGCCGCCGCCCCGGCCACCAGCAGCACCAGAGCGGCGGCACCGGCCCCGCGACGGUGGCGGCAGCGCGCGCCGCUGCCCUCGCCGGUCUCGGCCGUGGCGGCGGAGGCGCCCUCGGCAGCGUCGCCGUUCGGUGCCGAGGCGGAGAAGGAGAAGGAGGAGCGGCAGUUCGACUGGCUGGACCAGUGGUACCCGCUGGCCCCGGUGUGCGACCUGGACCCCGGCGCGCCGCACGGCAAGACGGUGCUGGGCCUCCGCGUGGUGGCCUGGUACGACCGCGCCGUGGACGAGUGGCGCGUGUUCGACGACGCCUGCCCGCACCGCCUGGCGCCGCUCUCCGAGGGCCGCAUCGACGACAAGGGCCGCCUCCAGUGCGUCUACCACGGCUGGUGCUUCGACGGCCGCGGCUCCUGCCAGUUCAUCCCCCAGGCCCCCGCCCUCGGCCCACCUGUGCACAAGAACAGCAAGGCGUGCGUGGCGUCGUACCCGAGCGUGGUGCAGAACAACAUCCUGUGGUUCUACCCGAGGGCCGACGGCGAGCACCAGGACAUUCUGCAGAGGAAGCGCCCGCCAUUCAUCCCGGAGAUCGACGACCCCUCCUUCGUCGCCGUCUACGGCGUCAGGGACCUCCCCUACGGGGUUGAGUUCGACAUCGAAGGCGGCGGGCCGAUAAAGAUGAAGACGAAGGAGGCGAACGUGGACGGGUUUCUGACGGAGCAGCAGGAGAACCGCGGCUACUUCCGGUACGUCGCGCCGUGCACCUUCUACGGCUCGCCGCUUCCCAGAGAGGUCGCACCGUUCGCCGUCGACGACUCGCCGCUUCCCACUGAGGCCACGGAAGAGAAGAAGAAGAAGAAGCCCCAGUUCAUGAUGGUGUUCAUGUGCGUCCCAGUGGCGCCGGGGAAGAGCAGGGUGAUCUGGGCCUUCCCGAGGAACGUCGGCCUCUGGCUCGACAAGAUCAUACCGCGGUGGUACUACCACAUGGGCCCGAACGCCCUCUUGGACUCGGACAUGUACCUCCUCCACGUCGAGGAGCGUAACUUCGCCGCCGCCGGCGUCCAAAACUGGCACAAAGCCGUGUACGUGCCCACGUCGUCGGACAACAUGGUGAUCGCCUUCAGAAACUGGUUCAGAAAGCACUGCAGGAGCCAGGUCGGCUGGGCCGUCCCCACAGCCGAUCAGCUGCCGGCGACUCCAACCAAAGACAAGCUCAUGGAGAGGUACUGGUCGCACGUGGCGCAGUGCAGGAGCUGCAGCGCGGCGUUGAAGGCCAUGAAGGCGCUGGAGGUCGCCCUGCAGUUCGCGUCGGUUGCGGUCGUCGGCUUCCUCGCCGUCGCCAAGGGGACGCUGGUGACGUCGGUCGUGCAGAGAGCCGCCGUCGUGUCCUUGGCCGUGCUGUGCUUCGCCGCGUCCCGCUGGCUGGCGAGCUUCAUCGAGAAGAACUUCUAUUUCCAUGAUUACGUCCAUGCUUACAAGUGA